rnacentral:rRNA from 1 species
GGGAGGCAGCAGUGGGGAAUAUUGGACAAUGGGCGAAAGCCUGAUCCAGCCAUGCCGCGUGAGUGAUGAAGGCCCUAGGGUUGUAAAGCUCUUUCACCGGUGAAGAUAAUGACGGUAGCCGGAGAAGAAGCCCCGGCUAACUUCGUGCCAGCAGCCGCGGUAAU